rnacentral:rRNA from 1 species
UACGUAGGGUGCAAGCGUUGUCCGGAAUUAUUGGGCGUAAAGAGCUCGUAGGCGGUCUGUCGCGUCUGCUGUGAAAACUCGGGGCUAACCCCGGGCCUGCAGUGGGGUACGGGGCAGACUAGAGUGCGGGUAGGGGGAGACUGGAAUUCCUGGUGUAGCGGUGAAAUGCGCAGAUAUCAGGAGGACACCGUGGCGAAGGCGG